AGGGAGAAACAUAUUCGGAAAUAUUCAAACAACAACAAAUCCAAAAGAGUUGUGGUGGCUGUUCAUCAUCGUGCCUGUGGGUCUGACUGCUCUUCUUAUAACUGCUGUGGUCAUCAUUAGACGGAAGAAAAGUAAAGGUAAAAUAACCCGAAUGGAUGAAAACAUGCCUGAUCCUGAAGACGUUUCCUACGUCUCCAUCAGCCACACCAAGAGGAAGAGGAAAGCUCAGGUCAAACACGAUGACACAUAUACAGCGGUGAUAUACAGCACAGUGAAAACCUCCUCUGCAGAUGAUCACAGCGCCCUCUAUGCUUCAGUCAAAUAACCAAUAACUCACAGUAUAGAUACACUUCUUUUAACUCCUUACUUAUGAACUACUGGUGUGAAAAAGGCACAUAUUUAUUUUCAGUUUUUUAAAGGAGGAAUGUGUGACUUUUUGAUCCAGUAGGUGUCGCCCUUGAGCACCAGCAUAAAACCAAAACAGACUGCUGUUUGGCCACACCUCCUCCAUACCGCAGCCUCCGUUCUCCUCCAGAGACACACUUCCAACCCCUCUCCACUCGCAUUCACAUGAAGGAGUUAUGAAUAAAAACGCACCAUAAGCGGUUGUCCUUUGCUUGAGCUGCAAUCACCUGUGUCUGGCAUUGUUGUUAUGUUAGCGCUCUUUAGUUAGCUUGUAGCUUCACAUUGCAUAUAAACUGACACAGAAUGACUGUAAUCUAAAGACACUGAUGUGACAUCCAAAUAAUCAGUGAGUAUGUUCUUCUUCUCUCUAGUUCUUGACUAAAACAGCUUUUAUACACAAGGGGAGGAGCCGGCCGUCCCGUCCAUGUAAACACGGCUCUGACAACAACACAGCCAGCGGGACUCGAGCUUCUCCCUCAUUGUAGACAGUCAGAGACACAUUUACACAGGACAGACGUUAUGAUUUAUUUAUGUGUAAAAUGUUUCACAUUCUUCCUUUAAGAAUAAAAUAUUGUCAUUGCACAUAAAAAAUAUGUUGUGCUUCUCUAAAACAAAGAGUAUCAUUCAUCACAUUCUUCCACACACACAUCAAUUACAUUUUUAAAAAGUAUUCAACAGGUAGAUAAAAGCAAGUUUUAAGAACAUCGAGUGCAUUCAGUGCAGUCUACACUGUA